rnacentral:lncRNA from 1 species
CGGCCUGCAUUAUUAAAAGCAAAACCAGAAAGGCAUCCUGCCGCAUCGCCAUACAAUUCAGUGGCAGAGCUAGCCGCUACGGCCCUCGUGGCCUACCCCGCCUACCCCUGCGCCAUGCUCGGCUGCUCGUCCGUCCCGGCGUCCCCUACCCCCUCGGCCCUCUGGCCUCUGCGCGAUCCUGCGGCCUUGCCGUCAGCAGAAAGCGGCCAUUUGCUCCUGCCGCAUCCGGCAAGCGGGGGCGGGGCACCCCACCGCCGGGCGUCACCCCAACGCCCCAGCCCCCGGCGACAGCUCUCCCUUCUGCCGCGCUGCUCUGCUUGCGCGUCGUCGUCGGACUAAGGGCGUGGUGGCGUACGAACGAGUCGUCAGGAAACCGCGCCCGGUGCGCGCGUCGUCGAGUGCCUCAAGUGCUUGCGCUCCCCUGUCGGCUGUCGCCGUCGGUGCCGCGACGAGCGAGCCUCGGGUACACGCACGAUCGGACGAGGCAGGGAGCCAGCGGCGACACGACAAGCGCCGGUGAGUGUUGGUGUGUGAGCGAGUGAGCGACGAGGCGGCCCGGCCGCGAGAUGCUCGCCGUACUGUACGCGGCGGACGUGGAGUGGAGCGUUGGAAAAAUGGCCCAUAGAGAGGUCCUAAAGCAUGAGUGCAUACUUCUAGUGGAAGUCAAUUUAAAUAAGAGAGCACUCUCACUUUUUUAAUACGUACUGAGGGAGAUAAUGGAAUUUGGGUUACACAACGUAUACGCGUACGUUGUUUUUCAUGUAACCAACCGCUUGCGUGUAAUUUUUUAACAAUUGUCAUUGGAGAUGAUAAACACACAGUCAAUGCCUUUAAUCCCGAGUUAAUUGGACAGUUACUACUGCCAAUUAGUAGGAUGAUUUUGUAACAGAAACGGUCAGUAGAGGGCUGCCGUCUUCUCUAUAAGAAGUCCUGGAUACGUCCAGGAACACAUACU